GAUGAACGCUGACAGAAUGCUUAACACAUGCAAGUCAACUUGAACGUCUGUUUGGGUGGCGGACGGGUGAGUAACGCGUAAAGAACUUUCCUCACAGAUAGGGACAACAGUUGGAAACGAAUGCUAAUCACUGAUAUUAUGAUUAUAUGGCCGCGUAUAAUUAUGAAAGCUAUAUGCGCUGUGAGAGAGCUUUGCGUUCCUUUAUCUAGUUGGAGAGGUAACGGCUCACCAAGGCGAUGAUGGGUAGCCGGCCUGCGAGGGUGAUCGGCCACAAGGGGAGGGAGAGAGGGCCCUUCCACAUACGGGCGGCAGGAGUCGGGAGUGUAGGAUAAUGGACCAAGAGUCUGAUGAAGGAAUACUGUGUGGACGAUGAAGUUUUUCGGAAUGUAAAGUGCUUUCAGUUGCGAAGAAGAAAAUGACGGUACCAACAGAAGAAGUGACGGCUAAAUACGUG
rnacentral:rRNA from 1 species